rnacentral:rRNA from 1 species
UACGUAGGGGGCAAGCGUUGUCCGGAAUCAUUGGGCGUAAAGAGCGUGUAGGCGGCUCGAUAAGUCUGCUGUGAAAGUCCAGGGCUCAACCCUGGAAGGCCGGUGGAUACUGUCGGGCUCGAGUUCGGAAGAGGUGAGUGGAAUUCCUGGUGUAGCGGUGAAAUGCGCAGAUAUCAGGAGGAACACCAAUGGCGAAGGCAGCUCACUGGGACGAUACUGACGCUAAGGCGCGAAAGCGUGGGGAGCGAACAGG